ACAUACGACCAUAGUGUGUGGAAAACAGGGCUUCCCGUCCGCUCAGCCGUACUUAAGCCACACGCCGGCCGGUUAGUAGUUGGGUGGGUGACCACCAGCGAAUCCCGGCUGUUGUAUGUU
rnacentral:rRNA from 1 species